rnacentral:lncRNA from 1 species
CAAUGUAUAUAUAAAACAUAUCAUAUCUAUCAGCAUAGAUCCAAAUAUGCAUUUGGUCAAAAUAAAUUUUCAAGAUAACUAAAGAUUGAUCAUCUACUCUCACUCUCCUAGUCCCUCCGACUAUAACUUUGAUCAGCCCAUGGCUAACUCCGAAAGAGAUUAGAUCCUGACUAUAACAUAUCGUUUAUCAAUCAUGUACUAGUGAUCACCCACUAA